rnacentral:rRNA from 1 species
GACGAACGCUGGCGGCGUGCCUAAUACAUGCAAGUCGGGCGGAUGAAAGAGGAGCUUGCUCCUCUAGAUUCAGCGGCGGACGGGUGAGUAACACGUGGGCAACCUGCCCUGUAGAUUGGGAUAACUCCGGGAAACCGGGGCUAAUACCGAAUAAUCCUUCGGACCUCAUGGUCCGAUGUUGAAAGACGGUUUCGGCUGUCACUACAGGAUGGGCCCGCGGCGCAUUAGCUAGUUGGUGAGGUAACGGCUCACCAAGGCCACGAUGCGUAGCCGACCUGGGAGGGUGAUCGGCCACACUGGGACUGGGACACGGCCCAGACUCCUACGGGAGGCAGCAGUAGGGAAUCUUCCACAAUGGACGAAAGUCUGAUGGAGCAACGCCGCGUGAGUGAAGAAGGUUCUAGGAUCGUAAAACUCUGUUGUGAGGGAAGAACAAGUACCGGAGUAACUGCCGGUGCCUUGACGGUACCUCAUUAGAAAGCCACGGCUAACUACGUGCCAGCAGCCGCCGCAG